rnacentral:rRNA from 1 species
GACGGAGGAGGCAAGCGUUAUCCGGAAUUAUUGGGCGUAAAGGGCUCGCAGGCGGUUUCUUAAGUCUGAUGUGAAAGCCCCCGGCUCAACCGGGGAGGGUCAUUGGAAACUGGGAAACUUGAGUGCAGAAGAGGAGAGUGGAAUUCCACGUGUAGCGGUGAAAUGCGUAGAGAUGUGGAGGAACACCAGUGGCGAAGGCGACUCUCUGGUCUGUAACUGACGCUGAGGAGCGAAAGCGUGGGGAGCGAACAGG